rnacentral:rRNA from 1 species
UACGUAGGGACCAAGCGUUGUCCGGAAUUAUUGGGCGUAAAGAGCUCGUAGGCGGCUGUCCACGUCGGAUGUGAAAGCUCGGGGCUCAACCCUGAGAGGCCAUUCGAUACGGGACGGCUAGAGGUAGGUAGGGGAGAUUGGAAUUCCUGGUGUAGCGGUGAAAUGCGCAGAUAUCAGGAGGAACACCUGCGGCGAAGGCGGGUUGCUGGGCUGACACUGACGCUGAUGCGCGAAAGCUAGGGGAGCGAACGGG